rnacentral:rRNA from 1 species
GACGUAGGGCGCGAGCGUUGUCCGGAUUUAUUGGGCGUAAAGAGCUCGUAGGCGGUUUGUCGCGUCUGCUGUGGAAACCCGAGGCUCAACCUCGGGCCUGCAGUGGGUACGGGCAGACUAGAGUGCGGUAGGGGAGAUUGGAAUUCCUGGUGUAGCGGUGGAAUGCGCAGAUAUCAGGAGGAACACCGGUGGCGAAGGCGGUUCUCUGGGCAUUACCUGACGCUGAGGAGCGAAAGCAUGGGGAGCGAACAGG